CCAUUCAAGCAGCCCGGCUACAAAUAAUAAUUCCAAAUAUGAAGAACGAGUGAAAGAAAUGAAGAGCGGAAUUUUGGUCAUGGCAGCACUAGUAGCAACAGUUACCUUUGAGGCUGUACUAAAUCCUCCUUGUAACCGGGCUUUCCACGCUAGAAAACCAUUCAAAACCCUCCAAUACUCGACUUCCAAUCCUUAAACUCAGCUAAAAGUGAGUCAAUUGGCCAAAUCGGUUGCUUUGAGAUCCUUAACCAUGGAAUUCCGAGCGAUAUUAUCCGAUCGGUCCUGAAUUCUGGUUCCGAAAUCUUUCAACUAUCACCGGAAAAGAAGGCCAUCAUGUCGAGGUGUUCGGAGAGAGCGGGUUUGUGGAUUUCGACGUUGAAGAGGAGAGAGAAACUACUGAAGAGUUUGUUUGGUGCAAAGAAGAAAGUCUGAGGUUGGAAAUGGAAAAGUACAAAGUUUACCCCUCUCUUAUAAACAUUACAGUCUUAGCCGGUCACUUUUGACCGGUUAAGUGAAAAAAAAUAUCUUUUAUAAGUAAAUUGAAGUUUGGGGUGUAUUUAGACACAUUUUUCAGUUUGUGGUGUAAAA
rnacentral:lncRNA from 1 species